GACACCAGCAGGCAGUAGCCAAGCUCUGCCCCAAGGAGCAGUGACAGAGCAGUCGAAACAGUCUUUGUCACACAAGCCGCAUCGCUUCCAACAGACGACGCCAGCCACCGGGCAGCCGCGGUGGCUCCAUCAGCAGCUCCUUCCACCGGUUUCCUCUCCCACCCAGCUAAUUCCCCCGAGACCCCAGCCUGAGGACUGAUGUGUCACGAGAACCAACCCCCAGGGACGUCUGCAGAGUGGGCUGCGUGGAGCCAAGGCUGGAGUCCAAGGCCCUGUUUCCUAGUGGGUCCGUUGCCCAGUGGUUAACCUGACGUCAGCAGAAAUUCUCUGCGGAGGUCCUGGGCUGCACUAGCACGCACCACUGGAUUCAGAAUCACCAGGAGUGGGUCUGCACUGUCAGGCUUUCAUGAGAGCCCCACCCAGCUGUAAAGGUACAGCUGUCACUGUCAAGAAAACUGUAAGUAGCUUUAAUAUACAGUUUCAUUUGCUUGACUAACAGCCGGGCGCAGAUCAUCAAAGAAUGGCUUGGGGUGGAGAAUUUCAUAUGAGAAUCCAGCUGGGGCUGCCAAGCCAUGUAUGUGCUAAUGUUGCAAUUUCCAUCCUGCACUUGAGGUCAAGAUUAAUUCAGUGAAAAAUGUUAUUUCAUAGUGUAGCAGACAUCUUCUGAGUUGAAGAGCAGGAGGGAUCCAGGAGUUUAGGUGAGGCAGGGGGUGUGUUUUGCUGAAUGGUAAAAGGAGGGAAUUCUUUGAAAAUUCCAUGGACAACCAUUAUUUUCCUUGGCCUCAACAUUCAACUCUGCCAUCACAGCACAAAAGCAGCCCCAGAUGAACCAGAUGGUUCAUCAAUGAUGUUGCUAGGUUCUAGUAGAAUUUGAUUUGUGGACACUUAACACUUGAGUUUCAUAUGAUUUCACGUGUUACAAAAUCUUCUUUUUAUUUUUUUUCUACCAUUUAAAAAAUGUAAAAGUAACUCUUAGUUCAUAAGCAGUGCAAAAAUAACUGGUGGGCUAAAUCUGGCUCCCAGGCCAUAGUUUUCUGACCCUGCGAAUCAAGGAUUUCCUCUCUCCAUCACCCAGUUUCAACCAAAAUCAACUCAUGGUAGAUCUUGUUUCAUCUCGCCCCCUAUUCUUUCUCCUUCCCCCGGAUUCUUGGAAGCAAGUGGUAAUCAACAAAUUAUUUCAUCCGUAUUCAUAUUUCAGUAUUGAUCUCCAAAAGAAGACUCUAAUUUUAGGCGUAAAAGUGCAAUAUCAUGUUCAUAACUAAAAAUAUAUAUCAUAAAAUAUCCAGUUAGUAUUCAGUGUUUCCAGCUGUCUUAUCAAUGGUCAUCAUGUUUUGAGUGCCCCCCCUGCCCCCCAGUUUGUCUGAAUCCAGAUCUUAACAAGGUUUCUCUAUUGCAAUUGCUCAAUAGGUCUCCUGAGUCUUUCUCUCUUUUUUAAAUCAAAGUACUACUUUAUUAAAUGAGUUAUUUUACACAAUAUGAACAUCAAUAUAAUUACAAUUGUAAAAAAAAUUUUAUGACAAGGAUGGACUGAUUUUCAGAUUUCCAAAUCAGAGUUAACUGUACAUUUACACAGAAUGGUCUUUGCAUGAGGCCCAAAAGGGAACCCCAGAAAAAUGAGUGUUUCUGUAGUCCCUUUAUUUUUGCUGAUCAACAGUUUGUUAGAAAAGCAGCUGCAGGUUUGUUACCUAAGGUCUGAGACAGAAGGCGAGUCAGAGGUGUCAUGAGUUCACCUGUAAACAACUUCCUGCCUGAACAUCAACUAAUUCUGGAGGAAGUGGAGUCGGGAUGCCUGCUGUUAAAGUGCUGCUUGAUCCUGAGUCUCUGGUAUCCUACAGUCUGCAUUCUGCUGGUUGCCUCCCUGAGUUGUGAUUGGGCCUGUUGCUUUGUUCUGCGAAUUUUCUACAGGGCGAUGGUAUUUUGUGCCAAUUGGAAGUUUAGAGCGAAAGGCUUGAUGAGACUCAAGGGUUUUGUUUGUUUCUUUCAGUCUGUUUUCCUGAGACGGGGUGUAAUUCUCUUCUUCCUUCGGGAAGGCACAGAACCUGUGGUCGUUUCUCUGUUUCUUCAUCAACAGCCAUUGACGACUGUUGCCUAGAUACAAUUCCUUUAAAAAAUGAUAAGUGGGGAGUUCCCGUCGUGGCGCAGUGGUUAACGAAUCCGACUAGGAACCAUGAGGUUGCAGGUUCGGUCCCUGCCCUUGCUCAGUGGGUUAACGAUCCAGCGUUGCCGUGAGCUGUGGUGUGGGUUGCAGACACAGCUCGGAUCCCGCGUUGCUGUGGCUCUGGCGUAGGCCGGUGGCUACAGCUCCGAUUGGACCCCUAGCCUGGGAACCUCCAUAUGCCGUGGGAGCGGCCCAAGAAAU
rnacentral:lncRNA from 1 species